rnacentral:rRNA from 1 species
UACGUAGGGUGCAAGCGUUAAUCGGAAUUACUGGGCGUAAAGCGUGCGCAGGCGGUUUUGUAAGUCUGUCGUGAAAUCCCCCGGGCUCAACCUGGGAAUUGCGAUGGAGACUGCAAGGCUAGAAUCUGGCAGAGGGGGGUAGAAUUCCACGUGUAGCAGUGAAAUGCGUAGAGAUGUGGAGGAACACCGAUGGCGAAGGCAGCCCCCUGGGUCAAGAUUGACGCUCAUGCACGAAAGCGUGGGGAGC